GAUAAACGCUGGCGGCGUGCCUAAUACAUGCAAGUCGAACGGAGGUAUGUAGCAAUACGUGCCUUAGUGGCGAAUGGGUGAGUAACGCGUUGGUGACCUGCCCCGAAGAGGGGGAUAACGGUUCGAAAGGGCUGCUAAUACCCCAUGUGGCCGCAAAGGUUAGAGGCUUUGCGAUUAAAGGAGCAAUCCGCUUUGGGAGGGGCCUGCGUCCCAUCAGCUAGUUGGUAGGGUAAUGGCCUACCAAGGCGGCGACGGGUAGGGGGCCUGAGAGGGUGGCCCCCCACAUUGGCACUGACACACGGGCCAAACACCUACGGGAGGCUG
rnacentral:rRNA from 1 species